ensembl:ncRNA ZK1193.9 ncRNA
GAAGGCGACCACGUCGUCGCCAAGAAGAGAUUGAAGACGACGAAUGGAGCGAAAGUAGUAAGGAGGGGUUGAGGGGGGGGGAGGUCGGGAUCGAGAUGGCAUAAUGUAGGAACCGGAUGGAAGAGUCUAAAAG